rnacentral:rRNA from 1 species
UACGGGGGGAGCAAGCGUUGUUCGGAUUUACUGGGCGUAAAGGGCGCGUAGGCGGCCACCGCAAGUCGACUGUGAAAUCUCCGGGCUUAACCCGGAAAGGUCAGCCGAUACUGCGGGGCUAGAGUGCAGAAGGGGCAACUGGAAUUCUCGGUGUAGAGGUGAAAUUCGUAGAUAUCGGGAGGAACACCAGUGGCGAAGGCGGCGAUCUGGGAAGAUACUGACGCUGAGGUGCGAAAGCGUGGGGAGCAAACAGG